rnacentral:rRNA from 1 species
AAGGGCACCACAAGAACGCGUGGAGCAUGUGGCUUAAUUUGACUCAACGCGGGAAAUCUUACCGGGUCCGGACACACUGAGGAUUGACAGGCAAUAUUAAUAUUACACUCUCUUCGUAGAUGUGUAUAUUAUGUUAAAUAUGCUAGUCCUUUCAUGAUUAUGUGAUAGGUGGUGCAUGGCCGUUCUUAGUUCGUGGAGUGAUCUGUCUGCUUAAUUGCGUUUCACUAAGGGCCUAUAAAUUUACGUAUGUUGCGGCACUUUGACCCCUUUUCUCGUUAAAAGCGCGCGUCUUAGUUUGCUUUGCUCAUACAAUUAGGUCCUGAAAGCAACGAACGUGACCGCAACCUCUUGUUGCCUUUAUUACCAAACAUUGUUUAUGCGUUCUGCGCAUAUCGAUGAAAAAAGGCUUUUUAAACUAGAGGGACCGCUGUUACUUUCUUAAACCAGAGGAAGGUUGCGGCAAUAACAGGUCUGUGAUGCCCUUAGAUGUUCCGGGCCGCACACGUGCUACAAUGAUUAUUGCAGUGAGCAUCUCAUUUUUUACACACCGCAUGCGCGAGUCCAUUUAUUCAUUAUCCUUCGGGUUUUGCUUUAAAUGUGUAUCUCUGCGCGCGGUAAAGCCUGCUUCGAAAGUAAGUGGGUAAUCAAUUAGAAGUAAUGAUUUCCUUUUUUUUUAGCACACAUAUAUACGGCGUUUAUACCCGGGUAAUGCUUGUCGUUACUUUUGUGCGUAUAGAUGUUUUUUCCGUAUGUGCGAUUGUCAAUUCAUGGUGGGGACAGACCAUUGUUAAUUGUUGGUCUCGGUCUUAACUAGGAAUGCCUUGUACGGGUCUUUGGUUCAACAAACCACCCGGAAUACGUCCCUGCCCUUUGUACACACCGCCCGUCGCAUCUUACCGAUGGACUUCUCUGUGAGUUUGAGGGACUGGGAACGCAUAUAAUUUCGAUUACUUGCACGCCUAUGGAAACUUAAAC